rnacentral:rRNA from 1 species
CUGUGAUCAUAAAUUUUAACGGCCGCGGUAUUUUGACCGUGCAAAGGUAGCGCAAUCACUUGUCUUUUAAAUGAAGACCUGUAUGAAUGGCAUAACGAGGGCUUAACUGUCUCCCUUCUUUAGUCAAUGAAAUUGAUUUCCCAGUGCAGAAGCAGGGAUAAGAGCAUAAGACGAGAAGACCCUGUGGAGCUUUAAACCCCAAAACAGACCAUAUUAAACACCCCUCCCCCAAAAAGCUAAAAUAACUAGGAUACUGCUUUGUUGUUUUUGGUUGGGGCGACCACGGGGCAAUAAAUAACCCCCACGUAGAAGGAAAGCACAAUCUUUCUAAGACAAGGCUUACAAGCCUAAAGAACAGAACUUCUGACUAACCACGAUCCUGUAAAACCGAUCAACGAACCGAGUUACCCCAGGGAUAACAGCGCAAUCCUCUUCCAGAGCCCAUAUCGCCAAGAGGGUUUACGACCUCGAUGUUGGAUCAGGACCCCCUAAUGGUGCAGCCGCUAUAAAGGGUUCGUUUGUUCAACGAUUAAAGU